rnacentral:rRNA from 1 species
UACGGGGGGGGGCAAGCGUUGUUCGGAAUUACUGGGCGUAAGGGGCUCGUAGGCGGCCAACUAAGUCAGACGUGAAAUCCCUCGGCUUAACCGGGGAACUGCGUCUGAUACUGGAUGGCUUGAGUUCGGGAGAGGGAUGCGGAAUUCCAGGUGUAGCGGUGAAAUGCGUAGAUAUCUGGAGGAACACCGGUGGCGAAGGCGGCAUCCUGGACCGACACUGACGCUGAGGAGCGAAAGCCAGGGGAGCAAACGGG